UUUUUGCGCCAGAUUUUAGGUGAACAUUUUUAAUGUUCUUAAAAGGGAAUUGGGUGUAAAACCCAAGCUGUUCCCGCAACUGUAAGUCGGUUUACUAUUUGUAAAUCAGUGAUUCUUUUUGCCACUGUCGCCAAAGCGAACGGGAAGGUGUCACGAGAUAAGCCAGGAGACCUGCCCAGAGUCUUUAUUAAUU
rnacentral:ncRNA from 2 species